rnacentral:tmRNA from 1 species
GGGGCCGAUCGGUAUCGACCGGGCAGGGAAGGUGCAGGGUGGCGCGUCGAGGAGUGUGCACCUCGGAAAAAGUACACAACACUUUAUAGCUGCCAAUAACAGCUACUCCCUCGCUGCUUAAUAGCGGUGAGCGGCCGGUUCACAAUGUCUGAUAGUGAGCUGGCUGUAAGCAUCAGGCUGUCUCGCGCUGGGCGCAUCCAGCAGCGUGAGCGAGGAACUUCACUGGACGCUGGGCCGAAGAGCACGCUGUCGUGAGCGGGCACAAGGCCGAGAUCAAAGUCGCGACUACACGCGUAGAGGCUGUGUGCUGACUGCUUCGGGACGGGAGUUCGAUUCUCCCCGGCUCCAUUU